UGAAAGUCCCGUAUUUUUUGGAUUAAAAAUGGAUUUAUUAUGAAGUAAACAAAAUAAGACUAUUAAAUGAAAAUUUAGAAAAUAAAGUAUAAUUCAAAAAAACAAGGGCUAUUUGAUCUCCCUCAUUAAUUGAGGUGGCAGAUCUAAUGGACAAGCGUGCGCGUCCCACCAAAGACCCGAGUCAAUGCGCCACACCAAUGUUACGCAGAAUCAAGGGCCAAG
rnacentral:lncRNA from 1 species